rnacentral:sRNA from 1 species
UUAUGAAGCUUAGUCAAAAUCCCAGUAUCUUCACUAAGACUUGUAUUUGAUUUAUCAGCCUGUACACACUUUAUUACAAUUUUCAGGUUAAGAUGCUGAGUAUAGCUUAGUUCUCUUCAGAUGUAGGUACAAGUUAUGGGGAACAGGAAAAAUCAGUGUAAGAACCUCAGCAUUUGUGCUUUUCACUAAGCUUUUUCAUCAUGGAUUUCCUUGGGCUCAAUAUUAGAUAACAUUUUGAAUAUUCUUUGUCCUCUUGGCUUUUGAUUAAGAUGAUGAAUAGAUCUUAUUCAAGAAAUGGAGUGCCAUACAAAUUUGUAUGUAUAUAUAUUUUUUAAAAUUUUUUUUUCCCGAGGUCAAGGCAAAGUUUAUUCUAAGUAGAACAUCUACUUGAAGCACAAAACUAUAAAACAACAGAUAUAGUGGAUAUAUAGUAUAGUGGAUAC